CUAAGUGUCAUGGUUAGUGUGAACGGUUAGUUGCUGUCUUUCACGUUUCGAUGCAUUUUAAAGUGAACUAUUUAGCAUUUCAAAAUGUUUGUUAAGUAGCAUAAUGUGUGAAAUCCAUGUCCAGGAGGAAAAAAUCUAGGAAAAUAGCAUGAUCCAGGUUGUUCUUCAAUUGCAAACAAAGAGAAUCAAGAUUGAAACAAAUCUAAAAUAUUGAACUGAAAUUCUCUUCAUAUUUGUGGUAAUUUUGGAAAAUAUUUUGUCCAGAGAAUGGCGCCUUAAAAGAAAGAACUUUGGUUGUGAUAAUGUGGCAGUAUAAUUUGCGUGAAUCCGUCGCCGCCUUUCCAUAGACUGACCCAUCGGAUGGUGAAACUUACGAGAGGAUGCUGUAAUUCAAGACUGAUCAAUUGUUUAGUUUUUAGAUAAAUUACAAGUUCAUAUCUGGGCUCCCUUCUUUUCUGCGGCCCCGUUUCCCUAACUAACCACUAACCAAC
rnacentral:lncRNA from 1 species